rnacentral:rRNA from 1 species
UGGAGGGGGAUAACUACUGGAAACGGUAGCUAAUACCGCAUAACGUCGCAAGACCAAAGAGGGGGACCUUCGGGCCUCUUGCCAUCGGAUGUGCCCAGAUGGGAUUAGCUAGUAGGUGGGGUAACGGCUCACCUAGGCGACGAUCCCUAGCUGGUCUGAGAGGAUGACCAGCCACACUGGAACUGAGACACGGUCCAGACUCCUACGGGAGGCAGCAGUGGGGAAUAUUGCACAAUGGGCGCAAGCCUGAUGCAGCCAUGCCGCGUGUAUGAAGAAGGCCUUCGGGUUGUAAAGUACUUUCAGCGAGGAGGAAGGCAUUGUGGUUAAUAACCGCAGUGAUUGACGUUACUCGCAGAAGAAGCACCGGCUAACUCCGUGCCAGCAGCCGCGGUAAUACGGAGGGUGCAAGCGUUAAUCGGAAUUACUGGGCGUAAAGCGCACGCAGGCGGUCUGUCAAGUCGGAUGUGAAAUCCCCGGGCUCAACCUGGGAACUGCAUCCGAAACUGGCAGGCUAGAGUCUUGUAGAGGGGGGUAGAAUUCCAGGUGUAGCGGUGAAAUGCGUAGAGAUCUGGAGGAAUACCGGUGGCGAAGGCGGCCCCCUGGACAAAGACUGACGCUCAGGUGCGAAAGCGUGGGGAGCAAGCAGGAUUAGAUACCCUGGUAGUCCACGCCGUAAACGAUGUCGACUUGGAGGUUGUGCCCUUGAGGCGUGGCUUCCGGAG